GCUUGUCUCAAAGAUUAAGCCAUGCAUGUCUAAGUAUAAGUAUUAUACAGCGAAACUGCGAAUGGCUCAUUAAAACAGUUAUAGUUUACAUGAUAAUCGAAUUUACAUGGAUAACCGUGGUAAUUCUAGAGCUAAUACAUGCUGGCGUGCCCGACUUUUGCGGAAGGGCGGUAUUUAUUAGAUGGAAACCAAUGCAGGGCAACCUGGAAUAUGGUGAUUCAUAAUAACUCGCGGAUCGGUUUACCGAUGCAUCAUUCAAGUUUCUGCCCUAUCAGCUUUGGAUGGUAGGGUAUUGGCCUACCAUGGCUUUAACGGGUAACGGAGAAUUAGGGUUCGAUUCCGGAGAGGGAGCCUGAGAAAUGGCUACCACAUCCAAGG
rnacentral:rRNA from 1 species